AUCCAGAUGACGAGUCCCAAAUAGAACGACACGCGAGUCCUGGAU
rfam:Schistosoma rodhaini strain Burundi genome assembly, scaffold: SROB_scaffold0001516